ACUCAAAUGAAUUGACGGGGGCCCGCACAAGCGGAGGAACAUGUGGUUUAAUUCGAUGAUACGCGAGGAACCUUACCUGGGUUUGAACGUAGAUAGACUGGCGCAGAAAUGUGUCUUUCCUUCGGGACUGUCUACGAGGUGCUGCAUGGUUGUCGUCAGCUCGUGCCGUGAGGUGUCGGAUUAAGUUCCAUAACGAGCGCAACCCUUAUCAUUAGUUGCCAUCGGGUCAUGCCGGGGACUCUAAUGAAACUGCCGGUGUAAACCGUGAGGAAGGUGGGGAUGACGUCAAAUCAGCACGGCCCUUACAUCCAGGGCUACACACGUGUUACAAUGGCCAUUACAGUGGGCAGCUACUUCGCGAGAAGAUGCUAAUCUCCAAAGAUGGUCUCAGUUCGGAUUGAAGUCUGCAACUCGACUUCAUGAAGCUGGAUUCGCUAGUAAUCGUAUAUCAGCCAUGAUACGGUGAAUACGUUCCCGGGCCUUGUACACACCGCCCGU
rnacentral:rRNA from 1 species